ACGGGAGGCAGCAGUGGGGAAUAUUGGGCAAUGGGCGAAAGCCUGACCCAGCGACGCCGCGUGAGGGAAGAAGAUCUUCGGAUUGUAAACCUCUUUCAGCAAGGAAGAAGAAAGUGACGGUACUUGCAGAAGAAGCCACGGCUAACUACGUGCCAGCAGCCGCGGUAAUACGUAGGUGGCGAGCGUUAUCCGGAAUUACUGGGUGUAAAGGGUGUGUAGGCGGGUAUGCAAGUCAGGCGUGAAAAUCAUGGGCUUAACCCAUGACUUGCGCUUGAGACUGUGUAUCUUGAGUGUGGGAGAGGUGAGUGGAAUUCCUAGUGUAGCGGUGAAAUGCGUAGAUAUUAGGAGGAACACCAGUGGCGAAGGCGGCUCACUGGACCACAACUGACGCUGAGACACGAAAGCGUGGGGAGCAAACAGGAUUAGAUACCCUGGUA
rnacentral:rRNA from 1 species